rnacentral:tRNA from 1 species
GGCUCGUUGGUCUAGGAGUAUGAUUCUUGCUUUGGGUGCGAGAGGUCCCGGGUUCAAAUCCCGGACGAGCCC